rnacentral:sRNA from 1 species
AUAUUACUUUAAAACAAGUUCCGGAAAACUAUCUUUCUGUCAAGAGACUCACUGCCUGCUCGUUUUACUGGCUUACCUGCUUCAGAUAAGAUUUUAAUAAAAAAGGAGGGCCGGCAUCUCUUUCCAGACGGCCCUGAGCGGAUUGUGACACAACAUGGCACCUUGCCGGCGCUCUCUUAUUGUUUCAUGCGUGUGCCAUCGCUAUGGCGCAAUCAGAGCA